rnacentral:rRNA from 1 species
GAAUUUGAUACAGAUUUAAGAAUAAUUUUAGUAGAGUGUUUUUUAAAUUUAUAUUUUAUUGGGAGGAUAAUUAAAUUAAGUAAACUUUAAAGAAUAAAUAAUCCAUUAAUUUAUGAGUUAAUAUAUGAAGAAUGGCUAAAAAGUUUGAGUAGAAUUAAUUACCUUAGGGAUAACAGCGUUAUAUUUUUAGAGAGAUCUUAUUAAUAAAAAUGUUUGC